rnacentral:rRNA from 1 species
GGCGAACGGGUGAGUAAUGUAUCGGAACGUACCUUUCAGUGGGGGAUAACGUAGCGAAAGUUACGCUAAUACCGCAUAUUCUGUGAGCAGGAAAGCAGGGGAUCGCAAGACCUUGCGCUGAUUGAGCGGCCGAUAUCAGAUUAGCUAGUUGGUGAGGUAAAGGCUCACCAAGGCGACGAUCUGUAGCGGGUCUGAGAGGAUGAUCCGCCACACUGGAACUGAGACACGGUCCAGACUCCUACGGGAGGCAGCAGUGGGGAAUUUUGGACAAUGGGGGCAACCCUGAUCCAGCCAUGCCGCGUGAGUGAAGAAGGCCUUCGGGUUGUAAAGCUCUUUCAGCCGGGAAGAAAUCACAUGGGUUAAUACCCUGUGUGGAUGACGGUACCGGAAUAAGAAGCACCGGCUAACUACGUGCCAGCAGCCGCGGUAAUACGUAGGGUGCGAGCGUUAAUCGGAAUUACUGGGCGUAAAGCGUGCGCAGGCGGUUUGUUAAGAUAGGCGUGAAAUCCCCGGGCUCAACCUGGGAACUGCGUUUAUGACUGGCAGGCUAGAGUAUGGCAGAGGGGGGUGGAAUUCCACGUGUAGCAGUGAAAUGCGUAGAGAUGUGGAGGAACACCGAUGGCGAAGGCAGCCCCCUGGGCCAAUACUGACGCUCAUGCACGAAAGCGUGGGUAGCAAACAGGAUUAGAUACCCUGGUAGUCCACGCCCUAAACGAUGUCAACUAGGUGUUGGGUGGGUAAAACCAUUUAGUACCGGAGCUAACGCGUGAAGUUGACCGCCUGGGGAGUACGGCCGCAAGGUUAAAACUCAAAGGAAUUGACGGGACCCGCACAGCGGUGGAUGGAUGGUGGAUUAAUUCGAUGCACGCGAAAACCUUACCUACCCUUGACAUGUCAGAGCUCUAGAGAUUUGAGUGGUGCCCGAAAGGACUGGAACACAGUGCUGCAUGCUGUCGUCAGCUCGUGUCGUGAGAAUGGUUGGGUAAGUCCCGCAACGAAGCGCACACCCUUGUCCGUUAAUUGCCACUCAU